CCCCCCAGCUCUCUCUCUCUCUCUCUCUCUCUAAGGAAAAAAAAUCGCUCUUUUUAUCAGAUCUCACCUUCACUGGCGAUCGCCAUGUCCUCAGCAACCACUGCUCGAUCACUUCCUCUCCUUGCUUCAUUUCCCUCCUUCUCCUCUCUCCCGCUCUUCCCCUGAGUCAGUAGUAACUUGCAGAGGUCGUUAUAUUAAGUUUUAUGUGUUUUGUUCCUGAGUUUAACUCAGAUCUGUUAUUUUUUGCGGGAUUUAAAUGUUAGGUUGAUUGGUGUUCAUGGAUUGAGUUUUGAUUUCGCAAAUGGCAGUUUAUGCAUUACAAACGCCGGGUCUCGUCCGGGUUUGCACGGGUUGUCCGGGUCAUGGGUCGACCCGCCGGGUCGACCGGGUCUUGCCGGUUUUUUGCAUUUACCGGUCUUUCUCCUAACCCGAACCGGUCCAGCCACCGGGUUGGCCGAUUCCCGGGUCAACCGGCCGGGCCGGUCCGGGUUUAAUAACUGUGGUAUUAACCAGAGGUAAAACACACACACGCGCAUAGUUUAGUUUAGUCCUAUAUUCUUUGGAUUUUGUUUUAGUAAAGUAGAUUUGAAUUUCAAUUUAUUUAUUAUCAUAUAAUAGAAGAGGCCGGCUAUACCAUUGUACUAUCCUAUCCUAUUAUAUAUUAUAUAUAUAGAUAAUAAUUUCAUCCAAUUUGAGGAUACCACCCAAAUAAGGAGGAAAUUUUUUAAUCCAAUAAAUAUAUAAAACUCGAAGAUAAAAAAUCAGGUUUUAAAUUAAAUAUAAACAUUAAUUUACUUGAAUCGAUCCAAAAUAAAUAAAUAACUUUAAAAUUUUAAAAAAUUACAUAUAUAACAAACUAAUUAUAUACUAGUUGUAAUUAACUUAUAGUAUUUGAGUUCAUAUUUUAAGUUUGGGUUAGAUUUGAGUAAUGAAUGCUCAAUAAAAACCUAAAAUUCUGUCGGUUUGAGUUUAGAUGUAAAAUAUUCAUAGUUCGAACCGGGAUUGAAUAGUUAUUUUGAAUUUAGAUAUGGAUAAUACAAAAUUUGAUUAAUGAAUAUUAAUUUCUAUGUUAUACACUGGAAUAUCCAAUAGAAUUUCCAUUGAAUAAAUAAAAAAACUUGUAAUAAAAACAGACAUAUAAUUUGCAUAUCUUGUGAAACGUUUUCGUGCUCCAGUUUUUUCCCCUCUCUCCACUCUAUUUGACAUGUCUGUUGAUCUUUCACAACAUACACAAAGCGAAGAGAAGAUGGGAGGUUAUAAUUAAUGCUAGCGAGCGUGCACAUGUCAUCUUUUACAUAACCAUUCAAGAAGUUAUGGCCACUUUUUGACUUAUAUUUUGCACAUUACCUUUUUUUUUUUUACCAUAAAAAAAGGAGCUCGAACAUGAAAUUUUGUCUGGGAAGAGGACCCUACUCUCAGCUAGCUACUUAUAUUUUGCACAUUACUUGAAGGAGAGGGAACAUCACAAAAAAAAAAAAAAAAAAAAAGGCUAAGCCUAUUGGUAGUGAUUUCUAGAGGAUAUGCCAUCUAAACAAAAGCAACAAAAUGAUUAGUAAUUUGACUUAAUAUCUGAUUUAGCGGAAAUCAUGCUUAAUUAUUGACCAUGCUCUCAUGAGAAUAUGUUUUUUGAAAUGGAUACAAGGUGAUAGGAUAGGUAGGUGAUGGGUUAUAAAUGCAUGUGCCACUUUCCACCAUUUAACAGGAAAAAGAAAAGGAGGAAAAAGUUACCCAGUGAUUUAUGGUGCGUAAACAAAGCUUAUUCUUUGCAGAUGAUUCCUUCCUUGUUGGCUUUUUAUAAUUUAGCUUUAUUUCAACUUGACGAUGCUCGUGAACCAUGAGAUAGCUCAGACAUCACCACUUUCGGAAGUAUUUCGCAGACAAAAUGAGCGCAUGACACUCAUUUGGAAUGAUCGAAAACAACUUAAUUUUCUAGCCAUCUAGCCAGCUACCGCACACUGUGGCACUCACUGACUGGGACACACUUUCAUACUGAAAUAAAUUUGUGACUGGUUUAAAGGCACUUACUACAAGGACACCAUGCUGUAUCAAGACUGGCUGUCUCUUUGUGUCACCACCACCAGCACGGCCUUCUGGUAUUCUCUGCAUGUUAAGUAUAAAUCCAUCUUGAGUUUUGACCUGAAAACACCCACAUGAUUCCCAUAUUAGCACACUUUCAUUUGCAUAACAUAUUAACACGCUUGACCAAAUAAAUACUUAAACUAAAGUUUGAGCUCUUACAUCAAUCUCCUGGCAUUUGUACCCAUGAAUUAUCACCGAAGUAGAGCAUAUACCAACUAUUGGUGGAUCUAUGAAACCACUGACUAGGCCCACAGAACCACGGCUGGAGCCAUAUGCUUGAUGGGCUAUAGCCAUGAUCAUGGUUACUAGGACACAAAAGGCUUGGAGAGCCAUAACUUAGAUGCCUUUGAUUGGUGGCUAUGUGAUGAGUGAGAGUGGAGAGUGUUAGAAGGAAACUUGGCUAUAUAUAUAAGAGAAGAAAAGGAGGCACUCCAAAAUGGGGGGUUUCAUUUCAUGGGCCUAACUGACUGGUGAGAUUUUUGGCAUAAAGUUAGGUCUUUUUUCACGUUAUAUAUAUCCCAUGACGAGGGAGUAGAUGUUGUGGGACACUUCAAGGUUUUUUUUCUCCUUAGUUCUUAUCAUGAACAAGCUUUGAUAUCCUGAUUAAUCGACUAUUUAUAUGCCAAUAGAACACAAAAUUAAUCCUAAAGAUCAUAUCUCCACCGCCCUGUGAAAGCAAAAGAGGUUUUGAGGGCAUUUUGUUUUACUUUACGUAUAUAACCAAAAAAAUUAUAGGGUCCCACAUACAGAUUUGUGACAGCUCAUGGGGUUUUCUGCAUUCUGAAAAAGCCAAAUCGUAAAUUUAGAAGUUGUUUUGAUGUAGUGUGGAAGGCGGGAAUUUCAUAAGCUUUGAUCAUGAUCAAAAGUGAAGAGUGCAUAGCAUACAUGUGAACAACUCAAUGUCAUUUUCAGUUGUGUGUUUGGCUAUCUGUUCAUGCAUUAAAAUCAUUUGUUGUUCUUACAGGCUGACAAGUAAACAUUUUUUUUUUUGUUAUAGAUUUGUAUAAAUAGAAAUAAUUUUAAAAGCAAAAUGAAAGAAUUUGAGCUCAACAAUCAAUUAAAUUCAAGUUAGUGUAUAUCUGGCAAAUAUACCAAUAUGUUAGAUCCAAAACAUUUGAGAUCAGUUAAAUUCAAGAAUUUGAUCUAUAUACUCCAAAGCUAAAAUCUAUACUGCACACAUGUAUACUUCCCCGAUCUAUCCUCAGUGCUCAGGAGCAUAUAGCAGGAAAUGGAUAGGGAUACAAGAUACAGAAAUUGAUGAUGCCAUUUCAAGCACCCAAAUGCAUAUAAUACAUCAGUAACAGGGCUUCUUCUCCAUAGUGUCAAUGUCAUGUGCCAUGACAUUUCUGCAAAUUAGAAGUACAUUGGAAAACUACCUAACACAGUACCACACCACCUCGAGGGUAGAAGAAGAAAGAAAUGAUGGCGGUGUCCAGUAAGGGAAAAAGGGAUCUGAGGGAAAGAUGGAAACAGAUCAUGUGCAAAAGACGAGCCCCUGCUGUCUAUGCUAUCAUUUCACUUGGAAAGUUGGGCUCACCAGGCUAUCGAUAUUAUUCCAUUCUGAAAGUUGGGCUUUGACUAUUUGUGUGUUUCACACUGCUGUCCAAUACAUUGUGACUUUACGGUGGUCCUCUAUUGUUUCCAGGUUAAUAUCUAGGAGAUCCAGAUAUAAUAAGAUAUGGAUGCGGUAAUACUCAAUUCAUAGAGUAGUUUAUAAUUUACUCCUAUUUUUUUAUGAUUUUGUAAAUUGGUCCCUCAAUUUCUGAAAAGCAUAAGUUAGGCCAUUGACCAAAGUUGAAUGUUAAUUUCUUUUUAAAAUUUCUAA